rnacentral:rRNA from 1 species
ACAGAGGGUGCAAACGUUGUUCGGAAUUACUGGGCGUAAAGCGCGUGUAGGCGGCUACGCAAGUCGGAUGUGAAAGCCCUUGGCUCAACUGAGGAAGUGCAUUCGAAACUGCGUAGCUCGAGUCCCGGAGAGGAUGGUGGAAUUCUCGGUGUAGAGGUGAAAUUCGUAGAUAUCGAGAGGAACACCAGUGGCGAAGGCGGCCAUCUGGACGGUGACUGACGCUGAGACGCGAAAGCAUGGGGAGCAAACAG